rnacentral:rRNA from 1 species
GAUGAACGCUAGCGGCAGGCUUAACACAUGCAAGUCGAGGGGUAGAGGCUUUCGGGCCUUGAGACCGGCGCACGGGUGCGUAACGCGUAUGCAAUCUGCCUUGUACUGGGGGAUAGCCCAGAGAAAUUUGGAUUAAUACCCCAUAGUAUUUUCGGUUGGCAUCAACUGAUUAUUAAAGUUUUUCGGUACAAGAUGAGCAUGCGUCCCAUUAGCUAGUUGGUAUGGUAACGGCAUACCAAGGCUACGAUGGGUAGGGGUCCUGAGAGGGAGAUCCCCCACACUGGUACUGAGACACGGACCAGACUCCUACGGGAGGCAGCAGUGAGGAAUAUUGGUCAAUGGUCGCAAGACUGAACCAGCCAUGCAGCGUGCAGGAUGAAGCAUCUAUGGUGUGUAAACUGCUUUUGUACGGGAAGAAACACUGCUACGUGUAGCAGCUUGACGGUACCGUAAGAAUAAGGAUCGACUAACUCCGUGCCAGCCGCCGCAGUAAAAC